rnacentral:rRNA from 1 species
AGAGUUUGAUCCUGGCUCAGGACGAACGCUGGCGGCGUGCCUAACACAUGCAAGUCGAACGAGGUCCAUGCAGUGGCAACACUGCGGAAGACCUAGUGGCGAACGGGUGAGUAACACGUGAGGAACUUGCCCCGGAGACCGGGAUAAGCCCCCGAAAGGGGGUCUAAUACCGGAUGUCCUCACCGAGUCGCAUGGCUUGGUGAAGAAAUGGAUUCCGCUCCGGGAGAGCCUCGCGGCCUAUCAGCUAGUUGGUGGGGUAACGGCCCACCAAGGCGUCGACGGGUAGCUGGUCUGAGAGGACGAUCAGCCACACUGGGACUGAGACACGGCCCAGACUCCUACGGGAGGCAGCAGUGGGGAAUCUUGCGCAAUGGGCGAAAGCCUGACGCAGCAACGCCGCGUGCGGGAUGAAGGCCUUCGGGUUGUAAACCGCUUUCAGUGGGGACGAACCAAGACGGUACCCACAGA